rnacentral:rRNA from 1 species
ACAAUUAGCUGUUGGGACACUAGAUGUUUUAGUAGCGAAGCUAACGCGUGAAAUUGUCCGCCUGGGGAGUACGGUCGCAAGAUUAAAACUCAAAGGAAUUGACGGGGACCCGCACAAGCGGUGGAUGAUGUGGAUUAAUUCGAUGCAACGCGAAGAACCUUACCUGGUCUUGACAUGUACGGAAUCUCUUAGAGAUAGGAGAGUGCCUUCGGGAACCGUAACACAGGUGCUGCAUGGCUGUCGUCAGCUCGUGUCGUGAGAUGUUGGGUUAAGUCCCGCAACGAGCGCAACCCUUGUCAUUAGUUGCCAUCAUUAAGUUGGGCACUCUAAUGAGACUGCCGGUGACAAACCGGAGGAAGGUGGGGAUGACGUCAAGUCCUCAUGGCCCUUAUGACCAGGGCUUCACACGUCAUACAAUGGUCGGUACAGAGGGUAGCGAAGCCGCGAGGUGAAGCCAAUCUCAGAAAGCCGAUCGUAGUCCGGAUUGCACUCUGCAACUCGAGUGCAUGAAGUCGGAAUCGCUAGUAAUCGCAGGUCAGCGUACUGCGGUGAAUACGUUCCCGGGUCU